rnacentral:rRNA from 1 species
AUGAACGCUGGCGGCGUGCCUAAUACAUGCAAGUCGAACGAGUUCUCGUUGAUGAUCGGUGCUUGCACCGAGAUUCAACAUGGAACGAGUGGCGGACGGGUGAGUAACACGUGGGUAACCUGCCCUUAAGUGGGGGAUAACAUUUGGAAACAGAUGCUAAUACCGCAUAGAUCCAAGAACCGCAUGGUUCUUGGCUGAAAGAUGGCGUAAGCUAUCGCUUUUGGAUGGACCCGCGGCGUAUUAGCUAGUUGGUGAGGUAAUGGCUCACCAAGGCGAUGAUACGUAGCCGAACUGAGAGGUUGAUCGGCCACAUUGGGACUGAGACACGGCCCAAACUCCUACGGGAGGCAGCAGUAGGGAAUCUUCCACAAUGGACGCAAGUCUGAUGGAGCAACGCCGCGUGAGUGAAGAAGGCUUUCGGGUCGUAAAACUCUGUUGUUGGAGAAGAAUGGUCGGCAGAGUAACUGUUGUCGGCGUGACGGUAUCCAACCAGAAAGCCACGGCUAACUACGUGCCAGCAGCCGCGGUAAUACGUAGGUGGCAAGCGUUAUCCGGAUUUAUUGGGCGUAAAGCGAGCGCAGGCGGUUUUUUAAGUCUGAUGUGAAAGCCCUCGGCUUAACCGAGGAAGCGCAUCGGAAACUGGGAAACUUGAGUGCAGAAGUGGACAGUGGAACUCCAUGUGUAGCGGUGAAAUGCGUAGAUAUAUGGAAGAACACCAGUGGCGAAGGCGGCUGUCUGGUCUGUAACUGACGCUGAGGCUCGAAAGCAUGGGUAGCGAACAGGAUUAGAUACCCUGGUAGUCCAUGCCGUAAACGAUGAAUGCUAGGUGUUGGAGGGUUUCCGCCCUUCAGUGCCGCAGCUAACGCAUUAAGCAUUCCGCCUGGGGAGUACGACCGCAAGGUUGAAACUCAAAGGAAUUGACGGGGGCCCGCACAAGCGGUGGAGCAUGUGGUUUAAUUCGAAGCAACGCGAAGAACCUUACCAGGUCUUGACAUCUUUUGAUCACCUGAGAGAUCAGGUUUCCCCUUCGGGGGCAAAAUGACAGGUGGUGCAUGGUUGUCGUCAGCUCGUGUCGUGAGAUGUUGGGUUAAGUCCCGCAACGAGCGCAACCCUUAUGACUAGUUGCCAGCAUUUAGUUGGGCACUCUAGUAAGACUGCCGGUGACAAACCGGAGGAAGGUGGGGAUGACGUCAAAUCAUCAUGCCCCUUAUGACCUGGGCUACACACGUGCUACAAUGGAUGGUACAACGAGUUGCGAGACCGCGAGGUCAAGCUAAUCUCUUAAAGCCAUUCUCAGUUCGGACUGUAGGCUGCAACUCGCCUACACGAAGUCGGAAUCGCUAGUAAUCGCGGAUCAGCACGCCGCGGUGAAUACGUUCCCGGGCCUUGUACACACCGCCCGUCACACCAUGAGAGUUUGUAACACCCGAAGCCGGUGGCGUAACCCUUUUAGGGAGCGAGCCGUCUAAGGUGGGACAAAUGAUUAGGGUG